GGAGACGUGGGUGAGCGGCUGAAACCAGCGGUUUGCUAAACCGCCGUACGGGGUAACCCGUACCGAGGGUUCGAAUCCCUCCGUCUCCG
rnacentral:tRNA from 1 species